UCCAAAGCCAUGACAGCUAGCCUUCAGAAGUGGUUUCAGAACGAUAUGAGAAAUGACCAAUGGAAACUGGAUAAAAUCAUACUGUGGAUCAACUCUUCAUCAAACAAAAUAUACUCAUUCAAGUAUUAAGGCUACCCAUAGAGCUGGGAUUUCUUUGGAAUGAAGUCAUUUACACAAUUUAAAAUAUUCAAGUGUAUUUUUGGUAUAAUUGAAUAUUUAUUACAUUUGGAAAUAGUCCAUUGGUAAUUCCUGUGAUAAUCUUCAUAUAUUUACUAGUCAAAUAAAAAUAUUUAAUGAGA